rnacentral:tmRNA from 1 species
GAUUAUAAUUACGCUGUAGCUGCGUAGAGCAGCUUCCGUCCUGCUGAUAUCCUUCUUGCAGAUCUCAGGUCAGGGCGUCGACUUUGCAAGACCGCCUUUUAAGGGUGUCUGAACCUUAAAGGUUAAACUUUUCAGGCUAUAUUGAUUUGUAUCCAUCUCAAAGGAGACAAUACAACUAAUUUUAAAUUUUGAGAUAAGUAUGUAGAAGCCUGGGUUGAUUGUUUUCGGACGCGGGUUCAACUCCCGCCGCCUCCACCA